CUUCUUUCUAGCCCUUGCCUAAGGAGCCAUCGUAAGGAGUUAAGAACUCAGUGGGUAGGUUUAUUGCCAGUCAUGGCAGAAGGGGAACAGAGGCCAAUGACCAGGCAAGCACAGUUUGUGUCCAUUCGCCAAUUUUGUGCUCAAACCACUACUACCCCCCCCUCCCCCACACCACCACCACCAAUCAGAGGAGCCCUACUAUGUGACAGUGACACUCCUCUGCUCCCUCAUUGGUCCAAAAGUCCGUACCUGCCCAUGAAAGCAACUCGCCACAGCAUCGUUAUUGGAACCAUAUCACAAACUGAAUGACAAAUCCUACUGUAUAUAACCUGUGUUGUUUCAGCACGGCAAGCAGGAGAGGACUGGGAGUCUAAACAUGUGUAAGGAAACCAUUUCGCCACCUACCCCUAUGGAACACAAUGUGAAGGCAUUUUUGGUAACUUGGUUUAAACUAGUCUACAGUUAUUUUAUGAGUACUGAUACGAGAACCAUUCAGGGUCUUUUCACUCACGUAAAUAGUCUGUUUGGUGAAGGCGUUGGUUUGUCCUAUUGAAGAGCCAUGAUAGGUUUGGUGGACACAGGAGGUUAGUGAAACCAGGAUAUGAUGCCAAUGGGUGCCAGUCUUUAGCCAUAUUUCUCCAUCCUCUAAGAAACACCACCAUCUGUCUUGGCUAUCUGAGGGAUUCGGUUCCAAGAGGUUUUGGGAUGAAAAUAUAGAGAGAAAAUGAGGAAAUCCCAUGUGAGUAUCAUGCUCUUCUCUUGUCGUCAAUCUCUACAGUGAAAGAAGGAUCAAAUAUAUGAUAUACAUUUACACUUCUGGAGGAGAAACUUUUGGAUGGAUUGUCAGUGACUAUCUAACUUGACAUUGACAAAGCUUUGUUUAUCUGGUGCCUACGACUGAUGGGACCGUUGCAAGUAAGGAUUCCCUAAUACUGUCUGUGGAGAAACCACCCACGUGACAUCACUCUACUAUAGGAGAUCUUUAUGAGACACUUACACACUUACUGACAGACUACACCUGCCUGGCUCUUUAUCCUGUGUUCUAAUUAUUUUGUGUGUGUGUGUGCGUCUGGGUGUCUGUGCCUCCUGAUAUACACUGUGAAAUGGGAAAUAGUUGACACAAUCUUGUUCUUAAGUUUGACACAUCCAGUACUGUACUUCUGUCAGAACUGUACCUGAAGCUCACUAUCUUGCAAACUGGUAUAAUCAUGUUUUAGGGGAUGCUCAUUGAUUUAAAGCUGGAAUCCGUACUUGGUGGAGCUGCCACGUCCGUUUGCGUUAAUUAAAGAAAGUUACUUCAAACAAUGAGCACUGUUUUUUCCCUCGGACAUCACUGCACAUCAUUGCACGCCCGAUAGAACAGCAGAGUAUUUACUGCAAUCUUCUUUUACCACAAUGCCAGAUGCUCAGCUCCUCCGUUUCACCAACAAAACAAAAAACGAUAACAAAAGCUCUGUGUCGAGAUGGCGCUGUUUCACCUUAUGCGGAUUUCAGCUUUAAAGCAUCAUACAGAGGAGUCAUAUGUUUUUAAUACAAAAAGUGUAUUUAUAUUGAAAGAUCUAUGUCACAUAAGUUAAAAGCAGUAAUAAUAGUCAAUGUGUAGUACUGAUUCAUUAUUUCAAAGUUAUGUUUUAAAUUGCCUAUCUUUUUAUAUGAAAUAGAUGUAUGGAGGUAUGCUACUUGCAAAGUGCUGCUGUUUAUAUUGUGUGUAAUGUAUACAUUCACUGUAUAAUGUCCCAUGGAUAUUCCCAACUUAAUUUAUGUUACGAGAUUACGAGAGAGAGUGAGUGUCACAGAAUGAAUGAGACCAUAAGGACAUUGUAUAUCACUGAAAUUGAGUUAUUAUUUUUCACCAGAAAGAUAUACUUACUGUAUGUUAAUUUUCUGUAUGUUAAUUUACUGUAUGUUAAUAUACUGGAUGCUCCUUUGAGUGACAUGGGGAUGAAAAGGGCCUUCCAUCCCUGGGGCUAAUGUAAUUGCCUUUAAGUGUGUGUGCAUAUAUGUGUGUAGGUGUGCAUGAGUGUGUGUGUGUGCUUGCGUGUAUGUGUGUGUGCAUGUCUAUGAGCGCAGGUGUGGGUGUGCGCGCACAUGUUCACUGUGUCCAUUUGUGUGUGCUUGAUUGGUGUGUGAAGAGAGCAUUUUCAUCUAAUUACACUUAACUUUAAUUACUCCCAGCUGUACCCAUGUCCUUUCUUUCACUAUUUUGUCUUAGUUUUUUUUUAACCAACACAAAUAAAAUGUCCCCUUGAUUUGA